UACGUAGGGUGCGAGCGUUAAUCGGAAUUACUGGGCGUAAAGCGUGCGCAGGCGGCUUGCCAAGUCAGAUGUGAAAGCCCCGGGCUCAACUCGGGAACUGCGUUUGAAACUGGCAGGCUAGAGUUUGGCAGAGGGGGGUGGAAUUCCACGUGUAGCAGUGAAAUGCGUAGAUAUCGGGAAGAACACCAGUGGCGAAGGCGGCCCGCUGGGCAGUGGCUGACGCUGAGGCGCGACAGCGUGGGGAGCAAGCAGG
rnacentral:rRNA from 1 species